rnacentral:rRNA from 1 species
AUUGAACGCUGGCGGCAUGCCUAACACAUGCAAGUCGAGCGGAUGAAGGGAGCUUGCUCCUGGAUUCAGCGGCGGACGGGUGAGUAAUGCCUAGGAAUCUGCCUGGUAGUGGGGGAUAACGUCCGGAAACGGGCGCUAAUACCGCAUACGUCCUGAGGGAGAAAGUGGGGGAUCUUCGGACCUCACGCUAUCAGAUGAGCCUAGGUCGGAUUAGCUAGUUGGUGGGGUAAAGGCCUACCAAGGCGACGAUCCGUAACUGGACUGAGAGGAUGAUCAGUCACACUGGAACUGAGACACGGUCCAGACUCCUAAGGGAGGCAGCAGUGGGGAAUAUUGGACAAUGGGCGAAAGCCUGAUCCAGCCAUGCGGCGUGUGUGAAGAAGGUCUUCGGAUUGUAAAGCACGUUAAGUUGGGAGGAAGGGCAGUAAGUUAAUACCUUGCUGUUUUGACGUUACCAACAGAAUAAGCACCGGCUAACUUCGUG